rnacentral:rRNA from 1 species
GACGUCCUACUACAGCUAGGCGUCCGCCGGGUACUACGAGCAUUAGCUUAAAACCCAAAGGACCUGACGGUGCCUCAGACCCCCCUAGAGGAGCCUGUUCUAGAACCGAUAACCCCCGUUAAACCUCACCACUUCUGGCUCCCCCAGCCUAUAUACCGCCGUCGUCAGCUUACCCUGUGAAGG